rnacentral:rRNA from 1 species
AGUCGAGGGGUGCAGGAUCUAGCAAUAGAUUGCUGACGACCGGCGCACGGGUGAGUAACACGUAUCCAACCUGCCGAUAACUCGGGGAUAGCCUUUCGAAAGAAAGAUUAAUACCCGAUAGUAUAAUAAAACCGCAUGGUUUUUUUAUUAAAGAAUUUCGGUUAUCGAUGGGGAUGCGUUCCAUUAGGCAGUUGGUGAGGUAACGGCUCACCAAACCUUCGAUGGAUAGGGGUUCUGAGAGGAAGGUCCCCCACAUUGGAACUGAGACACGGUCCAAACUCCUACGGGAGGCAGCAGUGAGGAAUAUUGGUCAAUGGGCGCAGGCCUGAACCAGCCAAGUAGCGUGAAGGAUGACUGCCCCUAUGGGUUGUAAACUUCUUUUAUAUGGGAAUAAAGUUUUCCACGUGUGGAAUUUUGUAUGUACCAUAUGAAUAAGGAUCGGCUAACUCCGUGCCAGCAGCCGCGGUAAUACGGAGGAUCCGAGCGUUAUCCGGAUUUAUUGGGUUUAAAGGGAGCGUAGGUGGACAGUUAAGUCAGUUGUGAAAGUUUGCGGCUCAACCGUAAAAUUGCAGUUGAUACUGGCUGUCUUGAGUACAGUAGAGGUGGGCGGAAUUCGUGGUGUAGCGGUGAAAUGCUUAGAUAUCACGAAGAACUCCGAUUGCGAAGGCAGCUCACUGGACUGCAACUGACACUGAUGCUCGAAAGUGUGGGUAUCAAACAGGAUUAGAUACCCUGGUAGUCCACA